rnacentral:rRNA from 1 species
UACGUAGGGUGCAAGCGUUGUCCGGAAUUAUUGGGCGUAAAGAGCUCGUAGGCGGUUUGUCGCGUCGAAUGUGAAAACUCGGGGCUCAACUCCGAGCUUGCAUUCGAUACGGGCAGGCUAGAGUUCGGUAGGGGAGACUGGAAUUCCUGGUGUAGCGGUGAAAUGCGCAGAUAUCAGGAGGAACACCGAUGGCGAAGGCAGGUCUCUGGGCCACUACUGACGCUGAGAAGCGAAAGCAUGGGGAGCGAACAGG